rnacentral:rRNA from 1 species
CUCCAUGAAGUUGGAUUCGCUAGUAAUCGCGCAUCAGCCAUGGCGCGGUGAAUACGUUCCCGGGCCUUGUACACACCGCCCGUCAAGCCAUGGGAGCCGGGGGUGCCUGAAGUUCGUGACCGCAAGGAGCGACCUAGGGCAAAACUGGUGACUGGGGCUAAGUCGUAACAAGGUAUC